rnacentral:rRNA from 1 species
CCUACGGGUGGCAGCAGUGGGGAAUAUUGCACAAUGGGGGAAACCCUGAUGCAGCGACGCCGCGUGAGUGAAGAAGUAUUUCGGUAUGUAAAGCUCUAUCAGUAGGGAAGAUAACGACGGUACCCGACCAAGAAGCCCCGGCUAACUACGUGCCAGCAGCCCUGGUUAAUAGUAGGGGGCCAGCGUUAUUCGGAUGUACUGGGUGUUAAGGGGGUGUAGAGGGCAUGGCAAGUCUGAAGUGAAAGCCCGGGGUCCAACCUCGGGACUGCUUUGGAGACUGUUAAGCUGGAGUGCAGGUGAGGUAAGUGGAAUUCCUGGUGUAGCGGUGAAAUGCGUAGAUAUUAGGAGGAACACCGGUGGCGAAGGCGGCUUACUGGGCUGUAACUGACGUUGAGGCACGAAAGCGUGGGGAGCAAACAGGAUUAGAUACCCUGGUAGUC